rnacentral:rRNA from 1 species
AGAGACUCGCGGCGACGGAUAUCUCGGCUCUUGCAUCGAUGAAGAACGUAGCGAAAUGCGAUACUUGGUGUGAAUUGCAGAAUCCCGUGAACCAUCGAGUCUUUGAACGCAAGUUGCGCCCGAAGCCAUUAGGCUGAGGGCACGCCUGCCUGGGUGUCGCCCAU